AUUACAGUAAACAAGACUUUUACCUACUUGGAUAACAGCGCAAGCGUCCAAAUGACAACAGAUGGUACAGACAUCUGAAAAGAAAAAAGAGCUGCAGCAAUGGGAAACAUCACAUCCUGCGAGUCUACAGGCCAGAGUGUGAGUAAGGACACUCCAAAAAAGCCGUCAUACAUAGCUAACAACAUCAAACCCAUCACUGAAGAACCCACAUAUCCUACUGCGUGAGAGACUGCCAGUGAUACCAGGUCAGCUGUUUCUACACAACACUCAGUUCGGCUACAUUGUUGCUGGCACUGCACCAUUGAACAGCGAGGGAUGUUCAUCACUACCAAGUAACUUUUGCAACUUUCCUAUUUUUUCGGGAAUACCGCCGCUGCCCCCGGGCCAUGCCUCUAUAAUGAGAAGAUCACCUGGGUGAAGAUGACGAUGCAACAUCGACAUGUCGAAGUACCCAGCGAAUGUGACGACAAAACUACUAAAUGGAUUUUGAUCAACAGACAACCUGGAUAGGCAACUUUU